AGCACUGCCAGUUCUGCUAUCUCUGCCCUCUGCUCUGCGAGACCGUCUGUGCCCCAGGAGGCUAUGUGGACCACUUCUCAUCCAACCUGUUUCAGGCUUUGGCGGAGAUGGUGGAAACCCCGGAGUCGUGAUGAACUUCAGGACAAAUAGCCCCACCCCCACUCCCGGCUCCGCCCACUUAUUUAUUUCGAAUAAACCCGAUCCUCGCAGGGACCCGCGAGGGAUUUCUGGGAUUCUGGGCUGGAAGGACCAUCUGGGUAACCCUCGCCCCAGAGGGCUAGGCUGAACCGUGAGAGGAAGGGGCGAACCCAGGGGUCCCUAGGAAAUAAAUGAGAGGAGGCGGA